CCAGGUGCUGAGUGUCAUAAACACGGAAGUGGAUGCCAGGCUGAGCUGUAUACGGAGAAGGGGCACAGCACACACCGGGAGCGGCUGUACAUGGCACACUAUGGCGGGCUGGGCUCCCCCUCGCCUUGACGACUUUAUACUGACUGACAAGCUGGGUAGUGGCACCUAUGCCACCGUCUACAAGGCCUACAGGAAGCGGAACGCCCGGGAGGUGGUAGCUAUUAAAUGUGUCAGCAAGAAAAGUCUGAACAAAGCAUCUGUCGAGAAUCUCCUGACAGAAAUCGAGAUCCUAAAAACCGUUCAUCACCCCCAUAUACUGGAGCUCAAGGACUUCCAGUGGGAUCGGGAAUACAUAUUUUUGAUCACUGAAUACUGUGCAGGAGGAGACUUAUCUCGCUUUAUACGGUCACGGAGAAUACUUCCUGAAAAAAUUGUUCAAAUCUUUCUUCAGCAAAUUGCUAGUGCUUUGAAGUUCCUGUAUGAAAGAAAUAUUUCCCACUUGGACUUGAAACCUCAGAACAUACUACUUGGUAGUCUGGAUAGACCACAUUUAAAGUUGGCAGAUUUUGGUUUUGCUCAGCACAUGGUAUCUCAGGAUGAGUCCCAGUCUCUGAGAGGAUCUCCACUUUACAUGGCUCCAGAGAUGAUCUGCAGUAGACACUACGAUGCUCGAGUGGACCUCUGGUCUGUAGGAGUUAUUCUUUAUGAGGCGCUUUUUGGGAGAGCACCAUUUGCAUCAAGAUCUUUCUCGGAACUGGAGGAGAAGAUACGAAGUGCCCGAUCUAUAGAGCUUCCUUCAAGGCCACGGGUGUCCCCUGAAUGCCGGGAUCUCCUUCAGCGACUUUUGGAGAGAGACCCAGAUUGUCGUAUCUCCUUCCCAGACUUCUUCAACCACCCAUUUGUAGACUUGGAGCACAUGCCCUGUGCAGAAUCCUUACAGAAAGCUACAUCUCUGGUGGCUGAGGCAGUGGAGAGAGAUGGAGCAAGAGAUUAUUCAGCAGCACUCAGCUUGUACUGCCGAGCUUUGGAAUAUUUCGUCCCUUCUUUGCACUAUGAAACAGACAUCCGACGGAAAGAAGCCAUACGCUCAAAGUCAGCAGCAGCUGCAGGGGUGAGGAGCAGGUGCUUAGCAAUGGCUGGUAAAGCUCUUACGGGCCAUCUGUUUAAACGACGUCAAUGUGCGACGAAACGCAUAGAGAAGAGUGACGUGCUGGCAUCAUCGCGUUUUUCGAUUCCUAGAAGUGCGGGCUUCUUGUUUUUCGCCAUCCGACGAGAGUGCUAAUAAGGCGUUUUUAACAUUACCUUGAUGUAAGUGCAACCUUACUUUUAUUUUAAUACAUUUUCCAUAAGAUUUUACACUAUUUGGACCUUUUUUUGUAUUUCUGGGGAUGGUUGUAUGGAAGCAUCAUCUGGAUGGUCUGCACUUAUGGAUCUUUAAACAUCAUCGAAAGGACCUGGCUGGGUGUGUAGCCACAAUCUUUGCUGACCUUCUGUGAUAGGAGGUCCCUUUUGAGCUGGUGCGUCAGUACAUAUCCAGAGCAGAGGAGCUGAAGGUGCUGGUAUCUUCUAGUAACAAGUCCCUGCUUCUUGAAGGCACAUCAUCGCG